AUCCAGCUGGCGAGUCCCAAAUGGAACGAGACGCACGUUCUGGAU
rfam:Schistosoma mansoni strain Puerto Rico chromosome 1, complete genome